GAAGAAGCAAAGUGAUGAGUAAUACUCGCAUGAGCCGAAGUGAGCGAGCUGUGUGCGUGUGAAGUUGUGUGUUGGUUGGUUGUGAGAAUUGUGUGCCUUAUAAUUGGGCUGUGAUAGCUAAACUGAUAAGAUCUGAUUGCUUC
rnacentral:snoRNA from 1 species